CCUACGGGAGGCAGCAGUGGGGAAUCUUGCGCAAUGGGCGGAAGCCUGACGCAGCAACGCCGCGUGUGGGAAGACGGCUUUCGGGUUGUAAACCACUUUCAGGGGGGACGAAGCUUCCGAGGUUAAUAGCCUACGGGGUGACGGUACCCCCAGAAGAAGCCCCGGCUAACUACGUGCCAGCAGCCGCGGUAAUACGUAGGGGGCGAGCGUUGUCCGGAAUCAUUGGGCGUAAAGCGCGUGUAGGCGGCUUGAUAAGUCUGGUGUGAAAUCUUGGGGCUUAACCCCAAGCCUGCACUGGAUACUGUCAAGCUUGAGUCCGGGAGGGGAGAGCGGAAUUCCUAGUGUAGCGGUGAAAUGCGCAGAUAUCAGGAGGAACACCGAUGGCGAAGGCAGGUCUCUGGGCAUUAACUGACGCUGAGGAGCGAAAGCAUGGGGAGCGAACAGGAUUAGAUACCCUGGUAGUCCAUGCGUAACGUAGGCGACUAGUGUGGGACGAUCUACGUUCCGUCGCGUGCUACGCAUAGUGCCCGCCGUCGGGAGGUACGGCCGCGACGGACGUAAACGUAACGUAAGUAGUUAGUUAGUACGGCGUUGAGACGNGCCGACGGACGACGACGAGGGAGGAGG
rnacentral:rRNA from 1 species